rnacentral:rRNA from 1 species
UUGGUCCUACGGGACGCAGCAGUGGGGAGUAUUGCACAAUGGGGGAAACCCUGAUGCAGCGACGCUGCGUGAGUGAAGAAGUAUUUCGGUAUGUAAAGCUCUAUCAGCAGGGAAGAAAAAAGACGGUACCUGACUAAGAAGCCCCGGCUAACUACGUGCCAGCAGCCGCGGUAAUACGUAGGGGGCAAGCGUUAUCCGGAUUUACUGGGUGUAAAGGGAGCGUAGACGGAGAAGCAAGUCUGAAGUGAAAGCCCGUGGCUUAAC